rnacentral:rRNA from 1 species
GACGAACGCUGGCGGCGUGCUUAACACAUGCAAGUCGAACGGAAAGGCCCUGCUUGCAGGGUACUCGAGUGGCGAACGGGUGAGUAACACGUGGGUGAUCUGCCCUGCACUUCGGGAUAAGCCUGGGAAACUGGGUCUAAUACCGGAUAGGAGCCAUUUUUAGUGUGAUGGUUGGAAAGUUUUUUCGGUGUAGGAUGAGCUCGCGGCCUAUCAGCUUGUUGGUGGGGUAAUGGCCUACCAAGGCGGCGACGGGUAGCCGGCCUGAGAGGGUGGACGGCCACAUUGAGACUGAGAUACGGCCCCGACUCCUACGGGAGGCAGCAGUGGGGAAUAUUGCACAAUGGGCGCAAGCCUGAUGCAGCGACGCCGCGUGGGGGAUGACGGCCUUCGGGUUGUAAACUCCUUUCGCUAGGGACGAAGCUUUUUGUGACGGUACCUAGAUAAGAAGCACCGGCUAACUACGUG